UACGUAGGGUGCAAGCGUUAAUCGGAAUUACUGGGCGUAAAGCGUGCGCAGGCGGUUUUGUAAGUCAGAUGUGAAAUCCCCCGGGCUUAACCUGGGAACUGCGUUUGAAACUACAAGGCUAGAGUGUGACAGAGGGGGGUGGAAUUCCACGUGUAGCAGUGAAAUGCGUAGAGAUGUGGAGGAACACCGAUGGCGAAGGCGGCCCCCUGGGUUAACACUGACGCUCAGGCACGAAAGCGUGGGGAGCAAACAGG
rnacentral:rRNA from 1 species